AGUGAACGCUGGCGGUAGGCCUAACACAUGCAAGUCGAACGGCAGCACAGGAGAGCUUGCUCUCUGGGUGGCGAGUGGCGGACGGGUGAGGAAUACAUCGGAAUCUACUUUUUCGUGGGGGAUAACGUAGGGAAACUUACGCUAAUACCGCAUACGACCUACGGGUGAAAGCAGGGGACCUUCGGGCCUUGCGCGAUUGAAUGAGCCGAUGUCGGAUUAGCUAGUUGGCGGGGUAAAGGCCCACCAAGGCGACGAUCCGUAGCUGGUCUGAGAGGAUGAUCAGCCACACUGGAACUGAGACACGGUCCAGACUCCUACGGGAGGCAGCAGUGGGGAACAUUGGACAAUGGGCGCAAGCCUGAUCCAGCCAUACCGCGUGGGUGAAGAAGGCCUUCGGGUUGUAAAGCCCUUUUGUCGGGAAAGAAAUCCAGCUGGCUAAUACCCGGUUGGGAUGACGGUACCCAAAGAAUAAGCACCGGCUAACUUCGUGCCAGCAGCCGCAGUAA
rnacentral:rRNA from 1 species